rnacentral:rRNA from 1 species
AUUGAACGCUGGCGGCAGGCCUAACACAUGCAAGUCGAACGAGUGGCGGACGGGUGAGUAAUGUCUGGGAAACUGCCUGAUGGAGGGGGAUAACUACUGGAACCGGUAGCUAAUACCGCAUACUAUCAGAUGUGCCCAGAUGGGAUUAGCUUGUUGGUGGGGUAACGGCUCACCAAUGCGACGUGCCGUAGCUGGUUUGAGAGGAUGACAUGCGACGCUGGGACGGAGACACGGGCCAGACUCCUACGGGAGGCAGGAGUGGGGAAUAUUGGACAAAGGGGGCAAACCUGAUGCAGACAUGCCGCGUGGAUGAAGAAGGCCUUCGGGUUGUAAAGUACUUUCAGCGGGGGGGCGUUACCCGCAGAAGAAGCACCGGCUAACUCCGUGCCAGCAGCCGCGGUAAUAC